GUCGCCGUAGCUCAAUCGGAUAGAGCACUUCGCUACGAACGAAGAGGUUGGGGGUUCGAAUCCCUCCGGUGACAC
rnacentral:tRNA from 2 species